AUGGCGGCUGACUUUGCCUUUUGCCUGAUUUUUUUAGGAGGAAAAAAAAUCGGAAAUAUCUGGCUGUGCUGACCAAAACGUUCAGGAGUGCAAGGAGGCCCUGUCAAGGGUCCGGGGACAGUUCUCAUUGUCAGCGGUUCUGGAUAGCAUUGCCCACAUCAAAUAAGGUUUUCUUUUUGGUCGGCUUGGAAGCAACAUCAAACAUCAAUUUAGAGGAAACAUUUCUGCUCAGCAUCAUAAAAUGAAUACAUCAGUGCAUCGCCUGCCAUUCUUUCCCUUCUCAUGCAUAAUGGAUGUCAAACCAACCCGGUGAUGGUGCGUAAGCUGAUUUUAUAUGGAGAAACUGUAGUUAGGCCUCACUGAAGUGCUCCUCUGGUAGUCAUUACAGGUCUGUUUUGUGAAGUCAGUGAUAUGUUUUGGGGAGGCCAGCCAUUGGUUUGACGCAGGGCCAGAUGCUGAAUGAGCAGAGACGUGCCCCCUCCACUGCUCCUCCGGCAGCUCUAGAGAAACGGAAACAGGAGAUUUACAUUGCCGCUAUGUUGUUUGAUGGCUCCCACAUGUCGCAUAAUUUCAACAGGUUAAAAUAUGAGGGCUGCAGGACAGACUGAUUGUGAGGGCAUUUAUUAGCCCCGGUUAUGGUGGCUCUUACCAUAAGAUCCUCAGGCCAAGACAGGCUGGUCGAUUUAUGUCGCAAUAAAUAAUCCAUUUCAUGUUAAUUCUCCCAUAAACCCCCUGCCUGUGAUUACGCCAACCCUUCAGAUACAUACAUUUGUCACAGAGUACUUUUUCAACAACAUCCGUUGGAACUGACAGCAUGACAUAACAUGUGUCAGCAGCACUCACUGAAUGGAUGGCCUAAAGCAGCGGCUCUGUUCACAGGUCUGUUCUGAUAAAGUCAUGGACAGCUGAGGAAAGAAGAACAAUGCUGUUUGUAAGCAAUACAAUGCAACUAAUCAUAUAAUUAUG